rnacentral:snRNA from 1 species
GUACUGACCUGGCAGGGGAGCUACCAUGAUCACUAAGGCAGUUUUCCCUGGGCGAGCCUUAUCCAUUGCACUCUGGAUGUGCUGACCCCUGCGAUUUUCCCAAUUGUGGGAAACUCGACUGCAUAAUUUGCGGUAGUGGGGGACUGUGUUCACACUUUGCCCUG